UCAAGCUACUAAGGGCAUACGGCGGAUGCCUAGGCGCCAUCAGCCGAUGAAGGACGCGGUAAGCUGCGAAAAGCUACGGGGAACUGCAAGCAAGUAUUGAUCCGUAGAUGUCCGAAUGGGGAAACCCACCUGCCGUCAUGGGCAGGUAUCCGAAAGGAAGGGAACCCGGGGAACUGAAACAUCUAAGUACCCGGAGGAAGAGAAAUCAAACGAGAUGCCCACAGUAGCGGCGAGCGAAGAGGGCAGAGGGCAAACCGGGGAGCUACGGCUCUCCGGGGUUGAGGACUGCAUUUAGUCUCAAUGGUUUAUCCGAACUACCUGGAAAGGUAGGCAACACAGUGUAAAAGCCACGUAGGUUAAAGACCAGAGAGAUGAGCAGUAUCCAGAGUACCACGAGGCACGAGGAAUCUUGUGGGAAGCCGGGGGGACCACCCUCCAACCCUAAACACUGAAUGGCGACCGAUAGCGCAUAGUACCGUGAGGGAAAGGUGAAAAGAACCCCGGGAGGGGAGUGAAAGAGAACCUGAAACCGUAUGUCUACAAGCAGUCGGAGCGAAAGCGACGGCGUGCCUAUUGAAGAAUGAACCAACGAGUUACGUGCACUAGCGAGGUUAAGUGGAAGACACGGAGCCGAAGCGAAAGCGAGUCUUAAGAGGGCGGAUAGUUAGUGUACGUAGACCCGAAACCGCAGUGAUCUACCCAUGUCCAGGUUGAAGCGCAGGUAAAAUUGCGUGGAGGACCGAACCUGUGAGCGUUGAAAAGCUUUAGGAUGAGAUGUGGGUAGAGGUGAAAUUCCAAUCGAACGCGGAGAUAGCUGGUUCUCCCCGAAAUAGCUUUAGGGCUAGCCUCAAGUAGUAAGUAUAGGCGGUAGAGCACUGAUCGGGCUAGGGGCCAUAAAGGUUACCGAACCCUGUCAAACUCCGAAUGGUUAUACUGUAGAGCUUGGGAGUCAGACUACGAGUGAUAAGAUCCGUGGUCAAAAGGGAAACAGCCCAGACCACCAGCUAAGGUCCCCAAUGUCGUACUAAGUGGAAAAGGAUGUGGGGUCUCUAAAACAACCAGGAUGUUGGCUUAGAAGCAGCCACCAUUUAAAGAGUGCGUAAUAGCUCACUGGUCGAGAGACCCUGCGCCGAAGAUUACCGGGGCUAAAGUACGAAACCGAAGCUGUGGCUACGACUUAGGUCGUGGGGUAGGGGAGCGUUCUGUGAGGGCUGAAGUCGUUCUGUAAGGAACGGUGGACUUCACAGAAGUGAGAAUGUUGGUAUGAGUAGCGAAAAGAAUGGUGAGAAUCCAUUCCACCGAAAGCAUAAGGAUUCCUGGGCAACGAUCGUCGUCCCAGGGUAAGUCGGGACCUAAUCCGAGGCAUGGAGCGUAGGAGAUGGACAACUGGCAGAUAUUCCAGUACCGGUAAUGAUUGUUUGAGCGAUGGAGUGACACAGGAGGGCAGGCAGGCAGGAGAUUGGUUGUUCCUGUACAAGCGUGUAGGAUGGGACGUAGGCAAAUCCGCGUCCUGUGAGUCUGAGGCGUGAUGUGGAGGUUCCGGAAACGGAACCGAAGCUGCUGACCCCACACUGUCGAGAAAAGCUUCUAGUUAGAGAAUUACCGCCCGUACCGUAAACCGACACAGGUAUGCGGGGAGAGAAUCCUAAGGUGCGCGGGAGAACCCUCGUUAAGGAACUCGGCAAAAUGUACCCGUAACUUCGGGAUAAGGGUAGCCGCUGUUGUGAAGUCUGCACAGACGGAGCAUGAGGCGGUCGCAGAGAAGAGGCCCAAGCGACUGUUUACCACAAACACAGGUGCCUGCUAAAGAGAAAUCUGACGUAUAGGUGCUGACACCUGCCCAGUGCCGGAAGGUUAAGGAAGGAUGUCCGGAGCAAUCCAAAGCAUUCGACCGAAGCCCCGGUGAACGGCGGCCGUAACUAUAACGGUCCUAAGGUAGCGAAAUUCCUUGUCAGGU
rnacentral:rRNA from 1 species